UUUUUUUUUUUUUUUUUUAAUGAGAGAUUUGGUAUCUUGUUGUGGAUUAUUUUUCAUGUGCAUUUAUAUAUUAAAAAUAAAUUUGAUAAAUAUUCAAUUUAAGUAGUUUUUUUCAUGCAGGACAAAAAAAAUGAUACAGUGGAAGCUGUAAUUGUAACUUAAAUGUAGAUUUUGAUGAAGUGCAACAAACUGAGUAAAAAGAUAUGAGAUCUUUUUAGUGUUGGUUUCAAAGGAGCUGAGGCUGCACCCACACAGCUACUGUUGAGAUUAAAUAGAAAAGGUGUAUGACGUAAGGUAGAUGUGUCUAGUAUCAUUUCAGGACUCCUAGGAAUCACUUGCUCCAGUUUUUUAAACACAAUAUCUCAGAAGUGGAUGCAUUCACAUAAAUGCUGUUGAUGAGAUAAGUUGAAGAUUUUCUUUUAUCUAUCUAUAGUGAGAGAUUGUAGAGGAGGCAUUUAGUUAGCUAGGAAUAGAAGGUGAUCUGUGAGCUUAAGCCUGAAGAGAGAAGAGAAAGGGGGGUGAGGGAGAUUUAGAUAUCUUGAUAAUUUGGUUUUAAAAACAAUAAAUUUGGUAGUGAAGUAGCUAGUGUGGUUUUCAUUACAGCCAGUUAGUAGUAACACAAUGCCAUUGUUCUACUAGUGAAGGCAACUUAUGAGUUAUGACUUGCUUCUGCUGCAUAGAAUGGAAGUUUUAUUUUGGUAAUCUUGCAUUUCAAGAAGGAUACCUUCUACUGUAACUGUGGUUUUAAGUGACUUUGUUUUCACUUUGCUUUUCAAGGCAAAGGAUCAAAGCUUUUUCAAUGCAUGGAAGGUUGUGAUUGACAAAGUAGGAUUUAUUUUGUGAAAAAACAUUAUAAUAGAAUCCUCCUUGAAGAAGAGAGUCUACAGUUCUUCAUUCUAUUGUGGUUCAAAAAGCAUAUAAUUCACAAGGUUCAAAAAGCAUAUAAUUCACAAAUAACAUACUUAUUCAUCUAGACUGGAUCAAAUUUGUUACCUAAGAAGGCCAUAGGCCUAUUCAACAGUUAAGAUUUAGGACCAACCAACCAAGUAGUUAUGGUGAUUGCGUGCAACUUUAUCCAUUAUAUAACUGUAGCAUAAUCUUAGUUAAAAUCUACAGUUGCCAUCUGCAAACAGUAGUUUUGGAAUCAUUAAAACCUUAACCUGACUUUGCCAGAUUAAGUGCUACACCAAUAUGUUUGAGAACUUCCCAUGGGUAAAUAUCUUGAUUUUUUUUAUUCAAAUGAUGAAUUACCCUUUGAUUUGAUUGGGAUUGUUCCUAAUUUCCUUUCAACAUCAAAUAACAUUGAAAUCUUUUUUUUUUCCCCACUCCUUAACUCUCAUUGGAGCUUGAGGAUGCAGCAAGCAUACCUAGAAUCUAAUUAUGAAUGUGAUUAGUAACUUAAAGUAUAUUUUGGCAUAAUUUUUUUACAGAUAUGUUGGAGGAGACCUGUAC
rnacentral:misc_RNA from 1 species